rnacentral:rRNA from 1 species
UACGUAGGGUCCAAGCGUUAUCCGGAAUUACUGGGCGUAAAGCGUACGUAGGCGGGAGUUUAAGUCAGGGGUGAAAUGCCAAGGCUCAACCUUGGAACUGCCUUUGAUACUGGAGAUCUUGAGUCCGGGAGAGGUGAGUGGAAUUGCGAGUGUAGAGGUGAAAUUCGUAGAUAUUCGCAAGAACACCAGUGGCGAAGGCGGCUCACUGGCCCGGAACUGACGCUGAGACGCGAAAGCGUGGGGAGCAAACAGG